AUUGAACGCUGGCGGCAGGCUUAACACAUGCAAGUCGAGCGGGGGAAGGUAGCUUGCUACUGGACCUAGCGGCGGACGGGUGAGUAAUGCUUAGGAAUCUGCCUAUUAGUGGGGGACAACGUCUCGAAAGGGAUGCUAAUACCGCAUACGUCCUACGGGAGAAAGCAGGGGAUCUUCGGCCCUUGCGCUAAUAGAUGAGCCUAAGUCGGAUUAGCUAGAUGGCGGGGUACAGGCCUACCAAGGCGGCGAUCUGUAGCGGGUCUGAGAGGAUGAUCCGCCACACUGGGACUGGGACACGGCCCAGACUCCUACGGGAGGCAGCAGUGGGGAAUAUUGGACAAUGGGGGGAACCCUGAUCCAGCCAUGCCGCGUGUGUGAAGAAGGCCUUAUGGUUGUAAAGCACUUUAAGCGAGGAGGAGGCUACUCUAGUUAAUACCCAAGAUGAGUGGACGUUACUCGCAGAAUAAGCACCGGCUAACUCUGUGCCAGCAGCCGCGGUAA
rnacentral:rRNA from 1 species